rnacentral:lncRNA from 1 species
GUUUUCCACCUCCAUCCCCCUUUUUCUCGCAUACUAAAAACAAAGAAGAUAUUCUCCAUACACAGGAAUAUCAAAGCGUAAACAGAAAUAAUAGCGGCACAAAAAUUUCCCGCCAAUUCGAGAGGUCUCAUAAUUGUGGCUGCACAUAAUGUAUACUAGCGUGCAAAGCUUCACCCAUUGUAAAUUCGCAAGGAGCGACGGUAUAUUUCUUGUCGCGUCCUAGAGAAAGACAUCACGUGAAAUUCUUCUCUGGUUUCGUUGAAUCUUGAAAAAUCUGUUGGGCUGCGUUUCUCGUCUGAACUGUUAAGAUUCGAUUGCAUGCCAGAAGUUUUCAAAUUUAUUUAGAAUCAUCAUUGACUAAUAGAGUUCAAACAAAAAUGGCAUGUGGAAUGCUGCAAAAAAUCCUUGAUAAGGGCAGCGUCAGAGGGAAACAUGGAAAUUCAUAGUUUGUUUGGUUUUCCAACUUGAACACUUUUGCUUUUGUAUUUUUCCAUACAACCACACCGUACAAUUUGUAAGUGGUGUGUAUUACUCUGUACCACUGGGACACACAAUGUGUUUCAUGCUGAAAAUGCCUCAAGUUCUUGAACAGAAGCAUUAGGAUGAAACAGGAUGGUAAAAAUCAUCAGCACGAAAUGGGUGUUUUAAUCCUGGAAGAUUUGCAAUUGGUGCAUUCUGCAAAAAAGAAAUCUAAAACUACAUAUAGGGUCUGCUGGAUUGUCUCUUUGGGGGCCACUAAAUUGUAUUACAUAUGCACCCAAACAAUGUUUCAGUGGUUGUUGAUUGUUGAGGCAUCUCUACACUCGAUUGUGCUUUUCCAAGGAUGCAUUGGUCAAUGGGUUUUCCUCUAGUCCUUUAAGGUUCCUGAAAUCAGCCUGAAGAUCUACACAGACAAACAUCAUGUGGAUUUCAGCGGUUCUAACCGUGGCCUGUUUUGUACGCGAUUGGAAGGUGAAAUGACUUUGGCUGUCGCUGAGCUAUUAACAGAGCUGACAUCCGAAGUCACAACACCACUUUUUCUUUUUAACGUCAUCAAAUCCCUGGUCGUGUUCUUUUGCACUGAUGCAGCAUUAGCAUCGAAAAAGGAAGGUGGAGACUCAAAAUUCCUUUCGCGAACAGUAAAAAUGUCUUGUUAAGAGACUGCCAUAAGCAUCACUCAAUCCUGAUGACGUUCUCGCCGCAUCUCUUUCAGCCUAUUGGGACCGAAGGCCCAUCUUAAUCGUACUUGCUGAUAAGGAAGUUUCUGAAUUGCCAAUCCAGCUGACUGACAACACGCUCCCAAAUGGCUUGACCACCUUGCGCAAAAGAAAGACCAGAGGACGAAUAGUCACUUUGAUCUCCGUAUUUGCCGUGGUUUUACGGCUGUCAUCAAGUAGUCUGUCGGACCCAAAUAUUCGAGUGGCUGGAUGAAAGUGUAUGCAGCUCCAUCAUUCCCGGCUGGCUCCGAUAAUCUUCUGAUCGAUUGACCCCAAUAGUAUGCAAAAUCUUCAGCGGAUGGUGGAUGAUGGAAAAGGGAACGAGAAUAACAACAAAGAGAAGGUAUUUUUUUUUUUUUUACGUCAGAGACGAGUAGGGCCAUUACGACAAAUGCAUUUCCAAUUCAAUAAAUAACAGCAUAUAUGGAAGAGAACAAAUUGAGACGAAGAAAAUAGCGUGACUCGGUUUUUGAUGGAUUAGCUGUAGUCUUGUCACUCUGUAAAUUUUAUAUGAAAUCAACAAAUUUAACAAUCAAUUAUCUAAGAAUUGGCUUCAUUUCAUUGUUUUGAUAAUUCAAUUCACGUAAUACGAUGACAGUGCUGGAUUUUAUUUGUUUUUCUCAUUGAACGUUCCUGGCAGCAAUGGACGUUAAUUCUAUGUCUAAUCUUGGACUGUUGGUAGUUCAAGUCAUGGUCGAACUAUUUGACGCUGCCAGUAUAGCGAUGAUGCCCGGUGUUGCCGCCGUUGUCGUCGAAUUCAAAAUUGUCCCCAGCUGGCCCGUCUGUUGCGGCGAGAAAACGUUACUGGAUGCCGUCCCGUUUAUCUGGAUCAUGUCCCCGUUACUUGAAACGGAAGUGAACGUCUGCAAUUCAUUUUCUUUGCGCACUAGAACGAGAGAGACAAAAAGGGAUGAAACAAGUCACCACGAUUUGCCGUCCAUUUGGCAUUUUGCCGGCUGCAAUAUGGCCGGUAUCGGUUAGAAAAGGAAAUGGUCAGCAGACGAUAACCAGAAGUCGAUGACCGAUGGAUACACGCCAUGGCCCGCCUUAUAGUCGCGAGGCCGUUUCACAUGGCAACGGCCACGUGUGAUAAUCCCUUGCAGCACGCUGCACCGUGUGUGUACAAUCGGAGAAACGUCGAGACGGUCUUAAGUUAUAAAAUCUGCUGGCCAUCGGCGUAGGAGGAAAUGAGAUUUCCAGUGCGCCGAAGACCGCGAACGGCAGAGACGGAAGGAAGUUGAUGGACUGAUUUAUACCGUACUGCUUUCACUCAUAUGCCGCGGCUGAACCGCAGCACACUCGGCUGGAUGCCAAGUGGAUUGGACAGAAGAAUCGAGUCGACAAACAACAAAGAGAUGGCCGGUAAAAUAUGCAAUACGUUUUUCUACUUUGUUAUUGAUGAACACGGCGACAUUGUUUGCAUCAUAUUUUUUAAAGCGAAUCAGCCAGGACAUACAGAGAGAAAGGACGGCAACGCAGCAUCCGCCAAUGCCUGCAUAAAAUGCAUCGUCCCAAUCUAAACGUUUCGGUGACGCACUGUCCCAUCACACGCAGUCCGGCACAUCAUUGCACCGUGUCGCCUGAGAACAAACAGCUGCUCUAUUCUGGGAACGGCCAACCAUGUAGGUCACACUGGAUGGUCCAACUCGGUUGAGUACGUCCGGCCCGACCCACUGAAUACGGACGUAGUGAAUUCGGCGUAUGUCAGACACAAUCGCAACAUUUUAAUUCAACGUAGAAAUGAGCCAAACAUCGAGCGUAACGCAUGCCGUUUACACAACGUGUAAACUGAUGUGGAUGGAACUCUCAGGGAAUCGCCCAUUCGUCAUCUUUUGGCCAUCGAUGGCCUGACAAGGGACACGAAAUCGCGUAGGCGCCUUGCGUUGAAAGACAUUUCGUGCAGCAGCAGCAGCAGCACACAUACCGUCAUUCUAAAAACGGCUUCGUCACACAGCAUUCGUCAAACGCCGGUUCACUGGUGAAUGGAGCGUGAGAGGUGAAAGAGAUUGAAUUAUUUUCACUUAAAAAACUUGUUUUUUUUUUUCUAAUAUUUCGGUGUCGUGUCGCUUUUGCUGUCCACGGCCAAUCUGUGCCCGUUUCCCCAUUUACGGACGGUUGAAUUUAGAACGUUAUAGUUGUCUGCUGUACGAGCGCUGAAACCCAAUCUGCUUAGCAACUAUGCGAACACCGCCGACGUCUUUCUUAUAUUUAGAUCGUCGUCUGUUGUAGCAAAGUAAAAACACAAACUAUUUCA